rnacentral:rRNA from 1 species
CCUACGGGGGGCUGCAGUGGGGAAUUUUCCGCAAUGGGCGAAAGCCUGACGGAGCAAUACCGCGUGAGGGAUGACGGCCUAUGGGUUGUAAACCUCUUUUUUCAGGGAGGAAUAAAUCAGAAAUGACGAUGACGUGUACCUGAAGAAUAAGCAUCGGCUAACUCCGUGCCAGCAGCCGCGGUAAGACGGAGGAUGCAAGUGUUAUCCGGAAUCACUGGGCGUAAAGCGUCUGUAGGUGGUCCAAUAAGUCAACUGUUAAAUCUUGAGGCUCAACCUCAAAAUCGCAGUCGAAACUAUUAGACUCGAGUAUAGUAGGGGUAAAGGGAAUUUCCAGUGGAGCGGUGAAAUGCGUAGAGAUUGGAAAGAACACCGAUGGCGAAGGCACUUUACUGGGCUAUUACUAACACUCAGAGACGAAAGCUAGGGUAGCAAAUGGGAUUAGAUACCCCAGUAGUC